rnacentral:rRNA from 1 species
AGAGUUUGAUCCUGGCUCAGAACGAACGUUGGCGGCGCGCCUAACACAUGCAAGUCGCACGCGAAAGGUAGCAAUACCCGGUAGAGUGGCGCACGGGUGAGUAACACGUGGGUAACGUUCCCUCGAGCGGGGGAUAACCUUCCGAAAGGAGGGCUAAUACCGCAUAAGACCACGACUUUUACGGAAGUUGGGGUCAAAGC